GACGUCUUCUCGCCGAACCGGCCACAGUCGGGCGGCGGGAUCGGGCGAGGACGGGGGACCCAGUUGAGCCGGCCAAGGAGCGAUCUUCGUUCCCGCUGCCGGACGGGGGUGAAGUCGCGAGAGCGACAGGGCACCUGACCGCCCUAACCCGACAGCUAACCUCGCAGGCGCGCGUCAGGAAGGAAAC
rnacentral:sRNA from 2 species